AUGUCAAGCAACAAGGAUGAGCUCGAGACACCACUUCUCAUGCCGGAGGAGGAGGAAGGUCCAACGGCACGGUUGCUGGACCAAGGAUCAGCGGACCCGACACCACGUCCACGGCUCCCGCCACCCAAGUUUGGGGAGGUCAUCACGGUGUUGAGCAUUAACAGCGGCGGGAUGCACGGGCUCAUCCCCACGGUCGUCCUCAAAUGCCUCGAGGAAAAGCUCCAAGCUAUUGACAGGGAAGAUGCCCGAAUAGCGGACUACUUCGACGUGAUUGCGGGCAUGAGCGCGGGCUCCAUGAUCGCGACAAUGUUGGUGUCGCCAAACACGAACAAACGGACAAAGUACACCCCUCAGGAAAUCCAGGAUUUCUAUGUCAAGAACGGACCUAAUAUCUUCCCUUCCAAGAGGUGGUGGCGGCGGCCGCUGGACCUGCUAAUCGCAUCGCGUGGGCCAAAGUACGACAGAACGUUCCUGCAGAAAAACAAGAUCAAGGAAGUCACGAGUGAGCGCACCCUGAGCAAGCUCGUGGCGCCUAUGUUCGACGCCAAUAUUCUCGAGCCUCUCAUCUUCUCCUCGUUCCAGGAUGCCGUGCAAGAACUAGUUGAAGAGGCCGGACCAGACAUGCCGAAUGUCUGCAUUGGCCCGCCGGCGACGGCCAUGCCAACCUACUUCCCAGCGCACUACUUCGAUAUCUGGGUCAGUGACAUGGAGCCGGCGAAAUACCACCUCAUCGACGGCGGCAACAACCCCACAAUGGCUGCCAUAUCCAAGAUCACCAGGGAGCAACUUCUCAAGAAUCCGGAGUUCCACCCCAGCGGCAUGGAUUAUAUGAAAUACCUCGUUAUCUCUGUAGGCGCAUGGUGUGCAGUGCACGAAAAUGUGCCAGCCAAGCAGGGCGCCUUCAACUGGUUUCACAGCAGGCGCAAUAGCCACAGCCCGGUCACUGACACCUCCUCGCAUGCCAGCGCCGUGUUGGCCGACUGGCAGGUUCGCAUGCUCUUACACAAUGGCAACCGCGUGCGGAAGCAGAACUACCUCUACAUCCAGGCUCUGGCACCAUUGUUCGGGGAGGCCAUUUUGCCAAUGGACAACGCGACGUCAAAGAACAUGGCUGACCUGCUCGACAUUGGCUACAAGUUGCUGGCCGAGAAGGUGGCUAUGGUGGACUUGACCACGGGGAAGUACGAGACCGUCGAGGACGAGAAUGCACCCACCAAUGAUGCAGAGCUCCAGCGCUUCUCCGAGCUUCUAGUCGCCGAGCGCAAUCUGCGCCUUAAGGAACAACAACGACAACGACAAGGAGAAGAACAAAAUGGGGUUCAUUUGCUUAACAUUAUUGAAUAA
rnacentral:rRNA from 1 species